rfam:Loxodonta africana unplaced genomic scaffold scaffold_33, whole genome shotgun sequence.
GCAUUGUUGGUUCAGUGGUAGAAUUCUUGCUUUGCAUGCAGGAGACCCGGGUUUGAUCCCCGGCCAGUGUA